AUUGAACGCUGGCGGCAGGCUUAACACAUGCAAGUCGAGCGGAGAUGAGGUGCUUGCACCUUAUCUUAGCGGCGGACGGGUGAGUAAUGCUUAGGAAUCUGCCUAUUAGUGGGGGACAACAUUCCGAAAGGAAUGCUAAUACCGCAUACGCCCUACGGGGGAAAGCAGGGGAUCUUCGGACCUUGCGCUAAUAGAUGAGCCUAAGUCGGAUUAGCUAGUUGGUGGGGUAAAGGCCUACCAAGGCGACGAUCUGUAGCGGGUCUGAGAGGAUGAUCCGCCACACGGGGACUGAGGCACGGCCCAGACUCCUACGGGAGGUAGCAGUGGGGAAUAUUGGACAAUGGGCGGAAGCCUGAUCCAGCCAUGCCGCGUGUGUGAAGAAGGCCUUUUGGUUGUAAAGCACUUUAAGCGAGGAGGAGGCUACCUGGAUUAAUACUCUAGGAUAGUGGACGUUACUCGCAGAAUAAGCACCGGCUAACUCUGUGCCAGCAGCCGCCGUAAUAC
rnacentral:rRNA from 1 species